GGGAUCGGUAAAUUUCCCGCCAAAAUCAGGGUGUUUUAGGCAUUUGGAGAAUUUGAAGACAAGGAAACAGCUGGAAUUAGGAUGUCGAUAGGUCCAAUGCUUCUUAAACCAAAACACCCUUUUCAUAAUCACUAAACGACGAUCCCAAUUCAUUAUCCAGUUCUCCGUGUGCGAAUAGAUUGGGGAAUGAUUCUGACGACUAUGAAUUUGCUUCAAUGAAGAAAAGUUCAACUUCGAUCCGAGUUGUAUCUCUGUCAUUGUUUCAGUCGAACUAUGUCCUAAUCCGUCGUAAUCACUCUCCCUCUCUCUGUGUUGUUCGUUCAGUAGUCCAGGAUCAACUUAAAUUGGAGGUCAGUUCAUUGCGUCCGAUGUAUGAUUGUUUCUCGGACUAAUAUUCGUUGAUAUUUUCACUCUAUGUAGCCGUAGCAGUUAUAUAUCUGCUCGGUCAUUGUUUGGGCAGAAUAAUGUCCUUUUAAUCCGUCGUAGACUGUGCGGCUUGUUCCGUGGUAUGAUUUUGAUCGGCUGAUUUGAUUUGAUUGUUGGUAGAUCUAGGAAUAGCGAGUGAAGUAUAGCAUGUAGUUUGCAUAAAGAACUUUCUAUGUUGUAGAUUCAACAUUUUUCGUCUGCGCAUUUUGUUUUCCUUC